AACGAACGCUGGCGGCAUGCCUAACACAUGCAAGUCGAACGAGACCUUCGGGUCUAGUGGCGCACGGGUGCGUAACGCGUGGGAACCUGCCCUUAGGUUCGGAAUAACUCAGAGAAAUUUGAGCUAAUACCGGAUAAUGUCUUCGGACCAAAGAUUUAUCGCCUUUGGAUGGGCCCGCGUAGGAUUAGCUCGUUGGUGGGGUAAUGGCCUACCAAGGCGACGAUCCUUAGCUGGUCUGAGAGGAUGAUCAGCCACACUGGGACUGAGACACGGCCCAGACUCCUACGGGAGGCAGCAGUGGGGAAUAUUGGACAAUGGGCGAAAGCCUGAUCCAGCAAUGCCGCGUGAGUGAUGAAGGCCUUAGGGUUGUAAAGCUCUUUUACCAGGGAUGAUAAUGACAGUACCUGGAGAAUAAGCUCCGGCUAACUCCGUG
rnacentral:rRNA from 1 species